rnacentral:rRNA from 1 species
AUUGAACGCUGGCGGCAUGCCUUACACAUGCAAGUCGGACGAGUGGCGAACGGGUGAGUAACGCAUCGGAACGUCCCCAGUAAUGGGGGAUAACUGUGGGAAAGGACAGCUAAUACCGCAUAUUAUUCGAGCGGCCGAUUUCUGAUUAGCUGGUGGGAGGGGUAAAGGCCAACCAAGGCGACGAUCAGUAGCGGGUCUGAGAGGAUGAUCCGCAACACGGGGACUGAGACACGGCCCAGACUCCUCCGGGAGGCAGCAGUGGGGAAUUUUGGACAAGGGGGGCAAGCCGGAUGCAGCCAUGCCGCGUGUCUGAAGAAGGCCUUCGGGUUGUAAAGGACUUUUGUCAGGGAAGCGGUACCUGAAGAAUAAGCACCGGCUAACUACGUGCCAGCAGCCGCGGUAAUUC